GGGAAAAUAGUCCGUAAGUGGAAGCGGGGCGGUUUGUAACACCGUUGCUCUGAGCCUUGUGUGUUCGAUUCGCACUUUUCCCACCA
rnacentral:tRNA from 1 species